GCCAAGCAGUUAAUUUAGAUAAAUCCAUGGUAAUUUUUUAGUCCUGAAGCAUCUUCUUGUUGCUGAGUACUUAAACUGCUUAGGUAAGAGAUAAGAUCAAUUGCAAGCUGCAAACUUGGAAAUGGAAGACCCUUUUAAUGGCAGGAAGAGUCACACUCGUCAAAUCAGUUUGGUGCUCGAUUCCAAUUCAUGUCCUUUCUAAUACAGUCCCUAUUACCUUCUUCAAAUGGCUAAAUUCAGUCUUAUCUAG
rnacentral:lncRNA from 1 species